rnacentral:rRNA from 1 species
AUUGAACGCUGGCGGCAGGCCUAACACAUGCAAGUCGAACGAGUGGCGGACGGGUGAGUAAUGUCUGGGAAACUGCCUGAUGGAGGGGGAUAACUACUGGAAACGGUAGCUAAUACCGCAUACCAUCGGAUGUGCCCAGAUGGGAUUCGCUAGUAGGUGGGGUAAAGGCUCACCUAGGCCACGAUCCCUAGCUGGUCUGAGAGGGUGACCAGCCACACUGGAACGGAGACACGGUCCAGACUCCUACGGGAGGCAGCAGUGGGGAAUAUUCCGCAAUGGGCGCAAGCCUGAUGCAGCCAUGCCGCGUGUGUGAUGAAGGCCUUCGGAUCGUAAAGUUCUUUUAGCGGGGAGGCGUUACCCGAAGAGAAAGCACCGGCUAACUCCGUGCCAGCAGCCGCGGUAAUAC